UGGUAAUAAAUACUAAUUUCGAAGCAGAAUUGGUGGAAAAAAACAAAAAGGACUAUGGAUGUUGACAUUGCAUAUUCAAUAGCGGAACUACCGCAUAAAUUCUCUGAUGAAGGAACUCAACGAACAUGAUGGACUCGAUCGUGGAAUUACUUUUCAUAGCUAUGCAGGUGCUAUUCGCGUCCGGAGGAAUGUUCAAGGUCUUCAAUUACAAAGAAAAGCGAUGUUGCGCCUUGGUCCCCUGGAUUACGUGCGGAUAUCAUGUUCCUCCAUUAGUAUCUGUGGAUCUUGAGAACAUUCGACGAUCAAUAGGUGCUGUUUUGUAAGAGUUUCUUUGGUGGUACCUAGGAAGUUAUGAUAGAUUAUACAUUAUCCAAAUGUAUCGUGAUGCUGGUCAUUACAGCUACCAUCAAAUUACACACCAGCUGGAACUGAAACGUGAUGCUGCGUUGGAGAGGUGACGACGAUCAACCCCCAUCCAAUGAACCCAGAAGAACUGUUGACGAUGCUUGAACCAUUUGCGACCAUUGGAAAUUUUACAUGCACUGAGUGCUAGGUUAAACUGAUGCAGCAACGAUUGUUUUUAAUACAAUUUGAACAUCGGUAGCAACUCUUGCGUUGGUUAUUGCCCUCCAUAGAUCUCGUCGAUUUGUCUCAUGUUGAACACACGUAAAGGCCAAAUGGUUUGGUGUUGAUGCUCCGUUCCCGCAUUCGCAUAGGUCAUCGUUUAUUAUGUCAUUCCUCUUCAAGUGAGUAGCUAUCCUGGAGUGGUUGCUGAUGAGUUUAGAGAGAACUGUACUGCCCCUAUUCGCAUAAGCGUCCCAUGUCAGUUUUCUUCAACUUGAGAAAUAUGCCAUUGAAUUUUUCAAACUCGUUUUACAUGGAGAAAUUAAAAAAUUCUAAUAAAUCUAUAAAACCAGCAAUCUUUCCAAAAAUUUGGCAUAAUAUUCUUCAAUUGUAUACAUACACAGCAAAAAAAAACGUAAUGUGCAUCGACGUAAUCACAACGAUGUACUAAAAUACACGAUGUAAUCAAAAGUUUGAUAUGCAAAAUAACGUUGUUUCAAUGUAAUAUCACAUCCCUCUUCGAAUUACACAGAACCUAUAUCAUCGUUUCGCAUUACAUAUCACCUGUGUAAUAUUAGUUGCUGAUAGCAAUUAAAAUUACAUCAAAAUAAAUGCAACCCAUCGAUUCUAUAAUGCUUUGUGUUAUAUUACACAAAAUCGAUGCAAUAUCACAGUCAUUGAAAAUGUAACAUUAAAUCUCGCAACACUGUCCAUACUGACUGAUGAAUUUCUGGUGGUGGAGCGGUGCGCCAUGUUUAUUUUGAAGUCCGAGAUUUCGGCGUCUAAAUUUUUUCAAUUAUAAAUACCUAGUAAAAAUGUGUAUUAAUAUAAUUAUUAUUAGUGUAAAUUGUGAUAUUAGUGAAAACUGUAACAUAUAUUCGGAAAAAAAUCCCUAUCGACGAUCGCAGCAACUUGUUGGCCCUCUUGGGCCCUCUUGUGCUCCGUGUAAUGGCCAAACCAAAUUUGAACGACUGUCGUAUCAUGCGCUGCUUGGAAAAAAUGUUCUUGGUACUGCCAUCUAAUGCUGGUUUGUGUCUUUUUUACUUUCGAGCUACAAGCCCGAACUGGAAGACCGAUUGCAGAAUAGCAAAACUGAGCGACAACAAAACGCCCUGGAGCAACUAAGGUGCUCUAGAACUUUGCGUUCCGACAAGCCGAAUUUAUGGUUUUGAUUGGGAAGUAAACUUCAGGAAAUUUUCUUUUUCGAUUCGAUCAAGACUUGUGUGUGGUAACCUUGGAACGUCCGUCGAAAAAUUGGAUUGGCCAUCCUGAGAACACCUACGACUUACUUCGCCCCAGAUGUAUCCUUCGGGAAUAGAGUUUCGUUUGGAAGGAAUCAUUUCGGAACUAUAAUUAAUCCGGCCGAAGCAGUUCUUUGGUAAACAUUCCCAACAAGAUUGGAUUUGAUUCGGGCUGAUGAAGAAUCUGGUCUGCGUAAAUCACAUUCCGAUUUGUAGUAUUUGCAAUCUUUCUAAUGCCACCAGGAUGUGUAAUGGAUGUCAUCAUCUAAAGUCUUCAUAGAUCACCGAUUUCCGUGUCGCUCGGUUGUGUACAUUCAAAGGUGCAACAUAGAAAUUCGUCUCUGGCCUGCGAGUUUCAAUGGAGAAGCUACAUACAUGUCGCCGCACCAGUUAACUGGAUCAGCGGAUCCUGUUCACGAUGCCCCUGGCUGAUUUUGUCAUUAUAGCUGCGUAUGGGCAUUAAACGGGCUUAUAGCAGCUGCUCAUAAGAACCCCUGUCUAGGCUUCCAGUCGGCGAACAACCACCGGCAAAAGAACCUGAUGGAGAAUAUGUGGAACUGUGAAGAGGAACUUUAGCCAGCUGUGCUUGAUGUUCACUUAUAAUAAAGUGAAACAUUCUAAUCUGCUGAAGGCGCUGAAGGGUACAAUUAGCCGUAUGGAAAUAAUUAGGGAAAUAACCCUACAGAUUAGGAUAAAGUAAAUUUUCUUUGUUCGAGUCCUGUGAAAAAAAAAUAUAUGAGCAAAUUCGAAAAAUAAAAAAAAUCAUGAUUUAAAAACUGAAAAUAGCAUCUUAUGUUAAUGUUCACCAAAAUAAUUGAAUUCACAUUUCUUUCCAUGCAUAGCUUGCUGUUUACGUCACACUCAUCUACAUCGCUUUAGUUACGUCGUUUUAUUUAUUACGUCGAAAGAAAUUACAUCGCUCCUGUUUAUUACACAGCAAGCUCUCGAGUACAUCGUGCUGUGUAAUAUUCAAUAACCGAUGGAUUCAGUUGGUUGCAGCGAUUUCGAUGUAAUAUUCAACAACUUUUUUUGCUGUGUUGCUAUGGAACUAUUAAAUGGAUUGUAAUUACAUUGAUGUUUUGUGCGA